rnacentral:rRNA from 1 species
GACAGAGGGUGCAAGCGUUGUUCGGAAUUACUGGGCGUAAAGCGCGUGUAGGCGGUCUCGUAAGUCGGGUGUGAAAGCCCUGGGCUCAACCCAGGAAGUGCACUCGAAACUGCAGGGCUGGAGUCCGGGAGAGGAGGGUGGAAUUCCCAGUGUAGCGGUGAAAUGCGUAGAUAUUGGGAGGAACACCGGUGGCGAAGGCGGCCCUCUGGACCGGUACUGACGCUGAUGCGCGAAAGCGUGGGGAGCAAACGGG